rnacentral:rRNA from 1 species
GAUCCUGGCUCAGGAUGAACGCUGGCGGCGUGCCUAAUACAUGCAAGUCGAACGCUUCACUUCGGUGAAGAGUGGCGAACGGGUGAGUAAUACAUAAGUAACCUGGCAUCUACGGGGGGAUAACUGAUGGAAACGUCAGCUAAGACCGCAUAGGCGUAGAGAUCGCAUGAACUCUAUAUGAAAAGUGCUACGGGACUGGUAGAUGAUGGACUUACGGCGCAUUAGCUGG